rnacentral:tRNA from 1 species
GCGGAGUUAGCUUAGCGGUAGAGCAGGUCCUUUACACGGACAAGGUCGGGGGUUCGAUCCCCUCACUCCGCA